rnacentral:rRNA from 1 species
UACAGAGGGUGCAAGCGUUGUUCGGAAUUAUUUGGCGUACAGCGCGUGUAGGCGGUCUUGCAAGUCGGGUGUGGAAUCCCCAGGCUUAACCUGGGAAUUGCAUCCGAUACUGGAUGGCUUGAAUCCGGGAGAGGGAUGCGGAAUUCCAGGUGUAGCGGUGAAAUGCGUAGAUAUCUGGAGGAACACCGGUGGCGAAGGCGGCAUCCUGGACCGGCAUUGACGCUGAGGAGCGAAAGCCAGGGGAGCAAACGGG